rnacentral:rRNA from 1 species
GGUUAAGCGACUAAGCGUACACGGUGGAUGCCCUGGCAGUCAGAGGCGAUGAAGGACGUGCUAAUCUGCGAUAAGCGCCGGUAAGGUGAUAUGAACCGUUAUAACCGGCGAUUUCCGAAUGGGGAAACCCAGUGUGAUUCGUCACACUAUCAUUAACUGAAUCCAUAGGUUAAUGAGGCGAACCGGGGGAACUGAAACAUCUAAGUACCCCGAGGAAAAGAAAUCAACCGAGAUUCCCCCAGUAGCGGCGAGCGAACGGGGAGGAGCCCAGAGCCUGAAUCAGCAUGUGUGUUAGUGGAAGCGUCUGGAAAGGCGCGCGAUACAGGGUGACAGCCCCGUACACAAAAGCGCAUGUGCUGUGAGCUCGAUGAGUAGGGCGGGACACGUGGUAUCCUGUCUGAAUAUGGGGGGACCAUCCUCCAAGGCUAAAUACUCCUGACUGACCGAUAGUGAACCAGUACCGUGAGGGAAAGGCGAAAAGAACCCCGGCGAGGGGAGUGAAAAAGAACCUGAAACCGUGUACGUACAAGCAGGGUUUGUGGGAGCCCCACCACUAACCCAGGGGUGAACUCCCCAUACCCUCUUUUUUUGAGGGAAAUGUUAACGGAGCGAAAGCGACGUUCAACCUCAAAAGAAGCAGAGGGGGCUUAGUGGUGGGGUGACUGCGUACCUUUUGUAUAAUGGGUCAGCGACUUAUAUUCUGUAGCAAGGUUAACCGAAUAGGGGAGCCGGAGGGAAACCGAGUCUUAAUUGGGCGUUAAGUUGCAGGGUAUAGACCCGAAACCCGGUGAUCUAGCCAUGGGCAGGUUGAAGGUUGGGUAACACUAACUGGAGGACCGAACCGACUAAUGUUGAAAAAUUAGCGGAUGACCUGUGGCUGGGGGUGAAAGGCCAAUCAAACCGGGAGAUAGCUGGUUCUCCCCGAAAGCUAUUUAGGUAGCGCCUCGUGAAUUCAUCUCCGGGGGUAGAGCACUGUUUCGGCUAGGGGGCCAUCCCGGCUUACCAACCCGAUGCAAACUGCGAAUACCGGAGAAUGUUAUCACGGGAGACACACGGCGGGUGCUAACGUCCGUCGUGAAGAGGGAAACAACCCAGACCGCCAGCUAAGGUCCCAAAGUCAUGGUUAAGUGGGAAACGAUGUGGGAAGGCCCAGACAGCCAGGAUGUUGGCUUAGAAGCAGCCAUCAUUUAAAGAAAGCGUAAUAGCUCACUGGUCGAGUCGGCCUGCGCGGAAGAUGUAACGGGGCUAAACCAUGCACCGAAGCUGCGGCAGCGAACGUAUCACUUAAAGCGAUUCAGCGGGUUACGAUUGACGGAGCGAAGCGACGUCAAAGCGUAUACAAAGUCGAGUCGGUUUAAGGAUACGUUCGUUGGGUAGGGGAGCGUUCUGUAAGCCUGCGAAGGUGGCCUGUGAGGGUUGCUGGAGGUAUCAGAAGUGCGAAUGCUGACAUAAGUAACGAUAAAGCGGGUGAAAAGCCCGCUCGCCGGAAGACCAAGGGUUCCUGUCCAACGUUAAUCGGGGCAGGGUGAGUCGACCCCUAAGGCGAGGCCGAAAGGCGUAGUCGAUGGGAAACGGGUUAAUAUUCCCGUACUUGGUGUUACUGCGAAGGGGGGACGGAGAAGGCUAUGUUGGCCGGGCGACGGUUGUCCCGGUUUAAGCGUGUAGGUGUGUGUUCCAGGUAAAUCCGGUUCACUUUAACACUGAGGCGUGACGACGAGGCACUACGGUGCUGAAGCAACAAAUGCCCUGCUUCCAGGAAAAGCCUCUAAGCAUCAGGUAACAUCAAAUCGUACCCCAAACCGACACAGGUGGUCAGGUAGAGAAUACCAAGGCGCUUGAGAGAACUCGGGUGAAGGAACUAGGCAAAAUGGUGCCGUAACUUCGGGAGAAGGCACGCUGACACGUAGGUGAAGUGAUUUACUCAUGGAGCUGAAGUCAGUCGAAGAUACCAGCUGGCUGCAACUGUUUAUUAAAAACACAGCACUGUGCAAACACGAAAGUGGACGUAUACGGUGUGACGCCUGCCCGGUGCCGGAAGGUUAAUUGAUGGGGUCAGCGCAAGCGAAGCUCCUGAUCGAAGCCCCGGUAAACGGCGGCCGUAACUAUAACGGUCCUAAGGUAGCGAAAUUCCUUGUCGGGUAAGUUCCGACCUGCACGAAUGGCGUAAUGAUGGCCAGGCUGUCUCCACCCGAGACUCAGUGAAAUUGAACUCGCUGUGAAGAUGCAGUGUACCCGCGGCAAGACGGAAAGACCCCGUGAACCUUUACUAUAGCUUGACACUGAACAUUGAGCCUUGAUGUGUAGGAUAGGUGGGAGGCUUUGAAGCGUGGACGCCAGUCUGCGUGGAGCCGACCUUGAAAUACCACCCUUUAAUGUUUGAUGUUCUAACGUGGACCCGUUACCCGGGUUGCGGACAGUGUCUGGUGGGUAGUUUGACUGGGGCGGUCUCCUCCUAAAGAGUAACGGAGGAGCACGAAGGUUGGCUAAUCCUGGUCGGACAUCAGGAGGUUAGUGCAAUGGCAUAAGCCAGCUUGACUGCGAGCGUGACGGCGCGAGCAGGUGCGAAAGCAGGUCAUAGUGAUCCGGUGGUUCUGAAUGGAAGGGCCAUCGCUCAACGGAUAAAAGGUACUCCGGGGAUAACAGGCUGAUACCGCCCAAGAGUUCAUAUCGACGGCGGUGUUUGGCACCUCGAUGUCGGCUCAUCACAUCCUGGGGCUGAAGUAGGUCCCAAGGGUAUGGCUGUUCGCCAUUUAAAGUGGUACGCGAGCUGGGUUUAGAACGUCGUGAGACAGUUCGGUCCCUAUCUGCCGUGGGCGCUGGAGAACUGAGGGGGGCUGCUCCUAGUACGAGAGGACCGGAGUGGACGCAUCACUGGUGUUCGGGUUGUCAUGCCAAUGGCACUGCCCGGUAGCUAAAUGCGGAAGAGAUAAGUGCUGAAAGCAUCUAAGCACGAAACUUGCCCCGAGAUGAGUUCUCCCUGAGACUUAGAGUCUCCUGAAGGAACGUUGAAGACGACGACGUUGAUAGGCCGGGUGUGUAAGCGCAGCGAUGCGUUGAGCUAACCGGUACUAAUGAACCGUGAGGCUUAACCUU